AAUACCAAUCUUGAUGGGAUUCAAACCCACAAUCUUUGGCUAGGGAAGCCAACGCCUUAUUCGUUGGGCCACUGGAGC